rnacentral:rRNA from 1 species
AGCGAACGCUGGCGGCAGGCUUAACACAUGCAAGUCGAGCGCCCCGCAAGGGGAGCGGCAGACGGGUGAGUAACACGUGGGAACGUACCCUUUGGUUCGGAACAACCCAGGGAAACUUGGGCUAAUACCGGAUAAGUCCGCGAGGAGAAAGAUUUAUCGCCGAAGGAUCGGCCUGCGUCUGAUUAGCUAGUUGGUGUGGUAACGGCGCACCAAGGCGACGAUCAGUAGCUGGUCUGAGAGGAUGAUCAGCCACACUGGGACUGAGACACGGCCCAGACUCCUACGGGAGGCAGCAGUGGGGAAUAUUGGACAAUGGGGGCAACCCUGAUCCAGCCAUGCCGCGUGAGUGAUGAAGGCCCUAGGGUUGUAAAGCUCUUUCGGUGGGGAAGAUAAUGACGGUACCCACAGAAGAAGCCCCGGCUAACUUCGUG